rnacentral:rRNA from 1 species
UAAGGAAUAUUGGUCAAUGGACGCAAGUCUGAACCAGCCAUGCCGCGUGAAGGAUGAAGGUCCUCUGGAUUGUAAACUUCUUUUAUCUGGGACGAAAACGGGAUUUUUAUCUCAAUUGACGGUACCAGAGGAAUAAGCACCGGCUAACUCCGUGCCAGCAGCCGCGGUAAUACGGAGGGUGCGAGCGUUAUCCGGAUUUACUGGGUUUAAAGGGUGCGUAGGUGGGCUUAUAAGUCAGUGGUGAAAUCUCCGAGCUUAACUUGGAAACGGCAGUUGAUACUAUAGGUCUUGAAUUAUCUGGAGGUAAGCGUAAUAUGUCAUGUCGCGGUGAAAUGCUUAGAUAUGACAUAGAACACCAAUUGCGAAGGCAGCUUACUACAUAUAAAUUGACGCUGAGGCACGAAAGCGUGGGGAUCAAACA